rnacentral:misc_RNA from 1 species
GUAGUGAGCAAUAACUGUUUGAAUUUUGAAGACGCUGAAUUUCUUAUUGUUGACUACAAAUGCUGCUUUUUCAUAUUAACUCCUAUUUUUUGUAUCCGCCCAGACCCUAUUGGUCUGGGCUUUUUUUA